AACUCCCAUGCCUACCUUCCUCGUACGGUGGAACGUGUAACUCUCAGAUGAGGCUUAACCAUCAGAGAUUCCGGGUGGAACGUUAGUUUUGUAAAGUACCUAGUGUGAGAUUUGAUUGGAAAUCUCACAUGGUACACGAACAAAGAUGCGGUUGGUGAGCAAAGCAAAGCAUAUCAACAUGGUUUUGAAUCGCAAGAUGACCUCUUUGAGCAGGCCAAUAUUCGCAACAGCUGGAAGCUAUGAUUGGGAGAAGUUGAAACCAGCAGUACUUUCGAAUCUCCAGAUUUUCUAAAGAGGAUCUGCUGAGAAACGGCAAACGAUUGAACGGACCAUGGCUUCAAAUACACGAUAUGAGGGUGUGGGAACAUUCGCUUGGUAUUAAAUUGUUCAAAAACGUGUGCUAUCUUGGCGAGAUUUGUUGACCAAUCGCUUCCAAUCUCGACGGGUUAGCAAACGCAUAAAUUGUAAUAUCCAAUAGCAUUUAUUCUUAGUUUAAAAAAAUAUAUAGUUCAAUUGAUAAUGGAUCCCGAACAUCAUUUUCUGAUGGAAAUGAAUGUCAAAAUACAUUAAAUGCUUACUGCUCGUAUAUGACAAACUUUCAAUUAUGAUGCAGCAAUUAUGGUGUUGGUAGCUUAUUCAACAUAUUUCCCGUAAGAACACGACCGGAGAAUAGCAUGACGAUAAUUAAAUAGAUUUAUUAUGCGCAUGACACGCGAUGAAACAACCCCCAUUAUCUACUGAUAAUCUUUUGGGUCACGUGUUUUCCAGCCCUAUAUAUUGAAAAGUUUACAUAAUGGAAACAUUCGAAUCGAAAUUCCGUAGAGUUAUGAAAUAACAAAAAUAGAUGGAAAUGGUUUUUCUUGUAGCAUGUAAGUGAUGAAAACAAUAACACUUGGUAUUAGUUUUAAGACGUUUCUGGUAAAAAUUGUAUUAUUAUUCGACAUAUUGUUUUGAGAUUAUGUUUUGCAACCCCCUCGAAGUAAAUACUCGUUACUGUUGGUAAA